UACGUAGAGUGCAAGCGUUGUCCGGAAUUAUUGGGCGUAAAGGGUACGCAGGCGGAUAGUAAAGUCAAGCGUGAAAGGUGUCGGCUUAACCGACAGACUGCGUUUGAAACUGAUUAUCUUGAGUGUAACAGAGGAGAGUGGAAUUUCCUAGUGUAGUGGUGAAAUACGUAGAUAUUAGGAAGAACACCAGUGGCGAAGGCGACUCUCUGGGUUAACACCGACGCUGAGGUACGAAAGCUGGGGGAGCAAACGGGGAUUUAGAUACCCCCCGUACGUAC
rnacentral:rRNA from 1 species